rnacentral:rRNA from 1 species
GACGAACGCUGGCGGCGUGCUUAACACAUGCAAGUCGAACGGAAAGGCCCUGCUUUUGUGGGGUGCUCGAGUGGCGAACGGGUGAGUAACACGUGAGUAACCUGCCCUUGACGUUGGGAUAACUUCAGGAAACUGGGGAUAAUACCGGAUAGGAGCUCCUGCUGCAUGGUGGGGGCUGGAAAGUUUCGGCGGUUGGGGAUGGACUCGCGGCUUAUCAGCUUGUUGGUGGGGUAGUUGCUUACCAAGGCUUUGACGGGUAGCCGGCCUGGGCGGGUGACCGGCCCCAUUGGGACUGCGAUACGGCCCAGACUCCUACGGGAGGCAGCGGUGGGGAAUAUUGCACAAUAGGCGGAAGCCUGAUGCAGCAACGCCGCGUUCGGGAUGACGUCCUGCGGGUUGUAAACCGCUUUCGCCUGUGACGAGGCGUUAGUGACGGUAAUGGGUAAAGAAGCACCGGCUAACUACGUG